rnacentral:rRNA from 1 species
UACGUAGGGCGCAAGCGUUGUCCGGAAUUAUUGGGCGUAAAGAGCUCGUAGGCGGUUUGUCGCGUCUGCUGUGAAAACUCGAGGCUCAACCUCGGGCUUGCAGUGGGUACGGGCAGACUAGAGUGCGGUAGGGGAGACUGGAAUUCCUGGUGUAGCGGUGGAAUGCGCAGAUAUCAGGAGGAACACCGAUGGCGAAGGCAGGUCUCUGGGCCGCAACUGACGCUGGAGGAGCGAAAGCAUGGGGAGCGAACAGG